rnacentral:misc_RNA from 1 species
UGAAGUACAACUAUCAUAUUCAGAAUUUAUCGAGGAAAAUGUAAGUCUUCUGUGCAAGUUAGGCUAAGUACUUCGUCGGAACUGAAGGAGAAGUUAUGCAUGCAAGCAGCUUCUUGCAUACUACUCGCAAGUCAUGUGAAGGAUCCGAAGAAGAUAUGCUUAAGGCUUCUAGCAAUCCCUCUGAUAUGCUUUCCAAAAUGGCAUCUUCACUGCCCAUGAGUGAUGCCACUAGCUUUGCACCUGCCAUCUUUUCCUUCUCAGAACCUUCCCUAAGAACUUUCACGGAGAGUUUAAGAAGAUCAACUGAAUAUGGAAGGAUUGCAGACUUUAGAUGGUACACAGCUGAAAACAGAACCUGAACACAAGCAGCUCUGAUCUCUGCAUGCAUUAUCAUCUCAACAGAAUGAAUAAGAUUUGGAAGAGUUCUUCGAGCAAAAGAUUUCUUGCCAGAAUCUGAUAUCUUCUGGCAAGCACUUAUGAGAGUGUUAGCCAUACAAAGACGAAAAGAAUG